rnacentral:rRNA from 1 species
UUGAAGAGUUUGAUCAUGGCUCAGAUUGAACGCUGGCGGCAGGCCUAACACAUGCAAGUCGAACGGUAACAGAAAGCAGCUUGCUGCUUUGCUGACGAGUGGCGGACGGGUGAGUAAUGUCUGGGAAACUGCCUGAUGGAGGGGGAUAACUACUGGAAACGGUAGCUAAUACCGCAUAACGUCGCAAGACCAAAGAGGGGGACCUUCGGGCCUCUUGCCAUCGGAUGUGCCCAGAUGGGAUUAGCUUGUUGGUGGGGUAACGGCUCACCAAGGCGACGAUCCCUAGCUGGUCUGAGAGGAUGACCAGCCACACUGGAACUGAGACACGGUCCAGACUCCUACGGGAGGCAGCAGUGGGGAAUAUUGCACAAUGGGCGCAAGCCUGAUGCAGCCAUGCCGCGUGUAUGAAGAAGGCCUUCGGGUUGUAAAGUACUUUCAGCGGGGAGGAAGGGAGUAAAGUUAAUACCUUUGCUCAUUGACGUUACCCGCAGAAGAAGCACCGGCUAACUCCGUGCCAGCAGCCGCGGUAAUACGGAGGGUGCAAGCGUUAAUCGGAAUUACUGGGCGUAAAGCGCACGCAGGCGGUUUGUUAAGUCAGAUGUGAAAUCCCCGGGCUCAACCUGGGAACUGCAUCUGAUACUGGCAAGCUUGAGUCUCGUAGAGGGGGGUAGAAUUCCAGGUGUAGCGGUGAAAUGCGUAGAGAUCUGGAGGAAUACCGGUGGCGAAGGCGGCCCCUGGACGAAGACUGACGCUCAGGUGCGAAAGCGUGGGGAGCAAACAGGAUUAGAUACCCUGGUAGUCCACGCCGUAAACGAUGUCGACUUGGAGGUUGUGCCCUUGAGGCGUGGCUUCCGGAGCUAACGCGUUAAGUCGACCGCCUGGGGAGUACGGCCGCAAGGUUAAAACUCAAAUGAAUUGACGGGGGCCCGCACAAGCGGUGGAGCAUGUGGUUUAAUUCGAUGCAACGCGAAGAACCUUACCUGGUCUUGACAUCCACGGAAGUUUUCAGAGAUGAGAAUGUGCCUUCGGGAACCGUGAGACAGGUGCUGCAUGGCUGUCGUCAGCUCGUGUUGUGAAAUGUUGGGUUAAGUCCCGCAACGAGCGCAACCCUUAUCCUUUGUUGCCAGCGGUCCGGCCGGGAACUCAAAGGAGACUGCCAGUGAUAAACUGGAGGAAGGUGGGGAUGACGUCAAGUCAUCAUGGCCCUUACGACCAGGGCUACACACGUGCUACAAUGGCGCAUACAAAGAGAAGCGACCUCGCGAGAGCAAGCGGACCUCAUAAAGUGCGUCGUAGUCCGGAUUGGAGUCUGCAACUCGACUCCAUGAAGUCGGAAUCGCUAGUAAUCGUGGAUCAGAAUGCCACGGUGAAUACGUUCCCGGGCCUUGUACACACCGCCCGUCACACCAUGGGAGUGGGUUGCAAAAGAAGUAGGUAGCUUAACCUUCGGGAGGGCGCUUACCACUUUGUGAUUCAUGACUGGGGUGAAGUCGUAACAAGGUAACCGUAGGGGAACCUGCGGUUGGAUCACCUCCUU